AGAGUUUGAUCCUGGCUCAGAUUGAACGCUGGCGGCAGGCCUAACACAUGCNAGUCGAGCGAACCUAGCUUGCUAGGUGAGCGGCGAACGGGUGAGUAACGCGUAGGAAUCUGCCUGGNUAGUGGGGGACAACGUUCCGAAAGGAACGCUAAUACCGCAUACGCCCUACGGGGGAAAGUGGGGGACCUUCGGGCCUCACGCUAUCAGAGGAGCCUGCGUCGGAUUAGCUAGUUGGUGGGGUAAAGGCCUACCAAGGCGACGAUCCGUAGCUGGUCUGAGAGGAUGAUCAGCCACACCGGAACUGAGACACGGUCCGGACUCCUACGGGAGGCAGCAGUGGGGAAUAUUGGACAAUGGGGGCAACCCUGAUCCAGCCAUGCCGCGUGUGUGAAGAAGGCCUUCGGGUUGUAAAGCACUUUAAGCGGGGAGGAAGGUUCGCUGGCGAAUAACCAGCGGAAUUGACGUUACCCGCAGAAUAAGCACCGGCUAACUCCGUGCCAGCAGCCGCGGUAAUACGGAGGGUGCAAGCGUUAAUCGGAAUUACUGGGCGUAAAGCGCGCGUAGGCGGCUGAGUAAGUCGAUUGUGAAAGCCCCGGGCUCNACCUGGGGAAUUGCAGUCGAGACUGCUCNGCUANAGUGUGGGAGAGGGUGGUGGAAUUCCCGGUGUAGCGGUGANAUGCGUAGAUAUCGGGAGGAACAUCAGUGGCGAAGGCGACCGCCUGGCCC
rnacentral:rRNA from 1 species